ACGUAGGUGGCAAGCGUUGUCCGGAAUUAUUGGGCGUAAAGCGCGCGCAGGCGGUCCUUUAAGUCUGAUGUGAAAGCCCACGGCUCAACCGUGGAGGGUCAUUGGAAACUGGGGGACUUGAGUGCAGAAGAGGAAAGUGGAAUUCCACGUGUAGCGGUGAAAUGCGUAGAUAUGUGGAGGAAUACCGAUGGCGAAGGCAGCCCCCUGGGAUAACACUGACGCUCGUGCACGAAAGCGUGGGGAGCAAACAGGA
rnacentral:rRNA from 1 species